GGAGAGGAUGUGUGACUUGGCAUUAUGUGAGCACUCCUGGGUGGAUCCUUGGACUCCUUUGCCAUCAAGAGACAGCCUGCAAUACAGUGAAAUGGAAGCAGAUAGGAGUUCCAAUGGAAGAAGACAAGAUGGAAGCUCUCAGCAGUUCCUGCUCUAGCACCAUGCCUGCCUCCCUGUGACCAUGUUCUCACCACCCUCUCCACCAUGACAGUCAUAGACUCACUCUCUGCAACUAUAAGUACCCAACAAACCCUUCUAUAAGUACCCAACAAACGCUUUGGCCACCAUGUUUUGUCAGAGCGACUGAAAAAUAAUGAAAGCGUAAGUUAGCAUCAGGACUAAGGUAUUGCUCUCACAGGCUCAACGAAACUGUUUUUUGUUUUUGUUUUAGUCUGGAACUUUCAACUACACAAGGAGUUGAAUACUGAAAAUGGGAAUUUAUAAUCUUAAUAGGAGAUUGGAAGACAAUAGUACUUAGAGAAAGUGAACUAUGUACCCAGCUCAAAAGGUUUCAGAGGGAGACUAUAUGAGCAAUAGGCUAGAGACAAUUCUUUUGAUAGUUUGUAUUACAUCCACAUACAAAGACAGAGAGAGAGAGAGAAAGAGAGAGAGAGAGAGAGAGGAAGAAAAAGAAAAAGGAAAAGCUGUUUUGCUUUUUGAACUCUUUCUCCUGGCAGCGCUGCCUUGCCAGGCCACUCAGGAAGAGGAGGCGCUCAGUCCAGGUAUGACUUGAUGUGCUGCUGUGGGUUGCUGGUGGGGAUCUCCUUUUCUGGGGGUUAGGGAAAGCAGGAUAGAAGAAAGAUGGAGGGAGGGUGGGACCCAGAGGAAAGGAGUGAAAGGGCUACAAUUGAGAUAGAAACUGAAUAAAUUAAUUAAUUAAUUAAAA